CGACAGUGAGUCUGGCCCCAAGCCAUGGAAAAAAAGAAAAUGUGGCACUCGCUGCAAUGCAGGAGGUUGAGGAACACCAGCUUUGAUAGGUUUUUUUGUCCAUCGUAUGCCAGGGAAAAUGCCAGCAGAGCUGGGAGACAGAUUCAAUAGCACCCAGAAAUCCUGAAUUGGCUUGCAGACGGCAAACUAUGAGUGAUGUGCAUACAUUGGGAGUGGUUUUGCGCCUUGGUGGGGUAUUUUUGACCAGGAAGGCCAGGCCGACAGCAUUUGAGGAACAGUAACAUAGCCAAGGGCCUCAUAGUUGAGCAUGUUAACAAAUCCAGGCUCCUUGUACCUCUGGAAUGGUUGAUCUCUGACAACCUUGACAUUGAACAACACGAUAUUGGCUUUCUUUCAAUCCUUCUUCAACCUCAACAUAUUAUUCAUUUUCUAAAAAAGCAUUCUGGCUUUAUCAAUUCUGCUCUUCAUGGCAUUUUCUCAACCAUUUUAUUUAUCAAUACUUGCACCAAGAUACAUGAAUUCAUCUAUAUCCUCAACAUUCUUUCUAGCUUAUUGAAUUAAAUCAUUUUUUGUUGUGUAUUCUCAGAAUUUGUUUCCUGUCAGUGAUCUUCAAUCUGACUUUUAGCCAGGUCAGACAUCUUGUUUUACUUCCUUUGUAAUUGGUUGUGAGAAACAUUAAGUGUUAAAGGCAAAUGAAGGAUUUGUCACACUUAUCAUAACUGGAUGUUAAAAAACAACUCUCUCCACUUUCAUCAGCUAAUAGAACCGAAUUUCCAAAUUGUCCACCAGAAUUGAAACCAACAAGGAGAGAGGCCUUUUCUCUAUUCAAGAAUUACCAAGUUGCGGAAAAUCAGAAUUCGUGGGAUAUUUUUUAGGUUACUGCACACAAUAUUUCAACAGUAAAUUCACUGUAUCGUUUCAAUACUGAUUCACACACCAUCCCUGUGAAACUAAAGGAACAUCUUCUUUACAAAAGUUAUUACAUGUUUGAAAAUGAAAGACCACAACAAGAGUGUUUUGAAACCUCGAUGGAAAAAAUAAAAAUAUUCAUCUGGACUUACUGUUGAAGCAGACGACAGUUUCACGUCCAUCCGGGACGCUUCUUCAGCUCUUCUGAACUGGCGGGAAUUCAUCCUCUGCUUCAACAAGUAAGUCCAGAUGAAUAGAUUUAUUUUUUCCAUCUAUAUUUGACUUUCCUGGAUGAAUAAAAACAUACAUCAGUUUAUUGUUUUGAAACCUGUUUCAACAAUAUGUUACAGAUGGUUUAGACAAAUCUUGGCUAACUCAAGGGGCAGGACUCAGUGGAAAGAGUUCCUUGAAGAAAGUUCUUGUGAAAAGAUACUACCAAAUCAAGAUGAUGUUUCUAGUUGUCAGACAGAGGAGGAAGAAAAAGAUAGUGAUUCUGAUUGGGGUGAAAAUGAUGAGAAAGAACCUGUUGGAAGUUUGGACACCAUGAUGUAUCCACAAAUGUUAAUGACCAACAAAUCAUUCUCUCUUUCUCACCCAGUGGGGGAAAUGUACCAAUUAGGUCAUUACAGGCUGAUGUUGAGGAAUUAACAUUUACAAAUAUAUUCUACAGGGAAAGAAGACAAGUAACAAAGAUAGAGAAAUUCCUCUCAAGAAUAGUGAUAGCUGAAAAUUAGAAUUAGAACAUUCCAACCAAAGCAGCAAGAAACAUCUUUUUUUUUCAAAUGCACAAGACUACGAAUGAAACAGAUCAAAGACAAGCUUUGGCUUUCACUCAGGUGGUAUAAACACCAGGAAAGUCAUAUACUGCAGGAGAUGUCUGACAAGAUGUGGUUGAGUUGGUAGGAACUAAAACAACUGAUCGAUGUCGAUCAAUCAUAGAAAUUCAUCAUAUACCACCAAAUUCAUGGUAGACCCUACGAUUGAUAAGAAAUCAAGUGUAAAGUCACUUAGCAACCAACAUUGCAGCUUUGGAUGUCAUUCUUGACCUAGAGGACAAUGAGGAACCGGAAAGGGUUCCUCAUCAACGAGUAUUCCGAAAUUGAGCGGUACCUUUGGAAGAAUUUUCUGACCAGAUAUACAGGUCAUACAACGAAGAAUUCCGCCAACGCAUCAACAGAAAGAAUUUCAUGGACAAAUGUAGCCAUUCAAAAUACAAAUCACUAUUUUAUGAUUAAAGAUAAAUGCAAGGACUAUAAGAGAUGUUGAGCAUUGUGACAUCCAACGAGCUACAUUGUGAGUAGUUUCGCGCUUGGGUGGGGUAUUUUUAACCAAUUGGAAGACAGGAUUUUGAGGUAUAAACAGGAGGUGAGAUGCACAAAUUUGGCACAACUUCUUCCAGACGCCAUAUUGGAAGGUGGAGAUCUUCCCCACUUGUGAAGAAAUUUCUCUCAAUUUUACUUCUAAAACUUUCAUCUCACACUGUAAGUACUCAUUUAUCAUGAUUACUAUAGAAGAAAGAAAAUAUAAGGUUGAUGAAAAGGGGAUGCAGUGGAAAACAAAAUAAGUUCUGUGAACCAAUCGACAGAAGACGUAAAGUAUCGUUAUAAUUGAGGGCCAGGGCCAUUACAUUUGAGAGGGGAUGCAGUGGAAAAAACAAAACAUGAUGUUUUGCAAACCCACUGACAGGAGACGUAAAAGUAUUGUUUUAGUUUUACAGCAUGGAGUCGACAGGAAGGCCAGGCCAACAGCAUUUGAGGAGCAGUAACUUAGCUGAGGGCCUCAUAGUUGAGCAUGUUAACAAAUCCAGCAGGCUCCUUGUACCUCUGGAAUGGUUGAUCUCUGACAUCCUUGACAUUGAACAACUUGACUUUGGUGUUCCUUCAAUGCUUCUUCGACCUCAACAUCUUAUUUUUUUUACAAAAAGCAUUCUGGCUUUAUUAAUACUGCUCUUUGUGCCAUUUUCUCAACCAUUAUAUUUACAAAUAAUUGCACCAAGAUACAUAAAUUCAUCUAUAUCCUCAACAGUCAGUCUUUCUAUCUAAUUGAAUUACAUCAUUUUUAUUUAUUUCCAGAAUUUGUUUUCCUGACAGUGAUCUUUAGUCUGAGUUUUAGCCAAGUCAGACAUCUUGUUUUACUUCCUUUGUAAUUGGUUGUGAGAAAUAUUAAAUGUUAAAGGCAGAUGAAGGAUUUGUCACACUUAUCAUAACUGGAUGUUAAAAACAACUCUCUCCACUUUCAUCAGCUAAUAGAACUGAAUUUCCACAUUCAAACUAAAAUUGAAUUGAAACUAUUAAAGCCAACUUGAAAAUAGGACUUUUCUCCAUUCAAGAAUUACCCAGUUGCGGAAAAUGAGAAUUCGUGGGAUAUUUCUUUAGGUUACUGCUAGCAAUGUUUCAACAGUAAAUUCACUGUAUCGUUUCAAUACUGAUUCACACACCAUCCCUGAAACUAAAGGAACAUCUUCUUUACAAAAGUUAUUACAUGUUUGAAAAUGAAAGACCACAGAAGUGUUUUGAAACCUCUGUUUCAACAAUAUGUUACAGAUGGUUUAGACAAAUCUUGGCUAACUCAAGGGGCAGGACUCAGUGGAAAGAGUUCCUUGAAGAAAGUUCUUGUGAAAAGAUACUACCAAAUCAAGUUGAUGUUUCUAGUUGUCAGACAGAGGAGGAAGAAAAAGAUAGUGAUUCUGAUUGGGGUGAAAAUGAUGAGAAAGAACCUGUUGGAAGUUUGGACACCAUGAUGUAUCCACAAAUGUUAAUGACCAACAAAUCAUUCUCUCUUUCUCACCCAGUGGGGGAAAUGUACCAAUUAGGUCAUUACAGGCCGAUGUUGAGGAAUUAUCAUUUACAAAUAUAUUCUACAGGGAAAGAAGACAAGUAACAAAGAUAGAGAAAUUCCUCUCAAGAAUAGUGAUAGCUGAAAAUUAGAAUUAGAACAUUCCAACCAAAGCAGCAAGAAACAUUUUUUUUCUUCAAAUGCACGAGACUACGAAUGAAAUGGAUCAAAGACAAGCUUUGGCUUUCACUCAGAUGGUAUAAAACAUUAGGAAAGUCAUAUACUGCUAGAGAUGUCAGACAAGAUGUUGUUGAGUUGGUAGGAACUAAAACGACUGAUCAAUGUUGAUCAAUCGUAGACCCUACAAUUGAAAAGAAAUCAAGCGUAAAGUCACUAAGUAACCAACAUUGCAGCUUUGGAUGUCAUUCUGGACAAAGAGGACAAUGAGGAACUGGAAGGGGUUCCUCAUCAACGAGUAUUCAGAAAUCGAGUGGUACUCUAGGAAGAAUUUUCUGCUGAAGACAUUAGAAGAUACAGUUUUACAAGAGAGGGGCUUGCAAGAUUAAUCAAAGUACUUUGACCUCAUCUUGAACAUGCAACUGGAAGGAGUCAAGCAUUGCCACCUAGUCUGCAGAUAUUGACAGCACAAAACUUCUUUAUGACAGGGGCAGUGCUUGGCUCGACUUCUACCAUCGACAGCAUGGAAAGAAUUACGGCUUCAAGAUGCAUCCACUGUGUUGCAGAGGUUAUAGAGAGUAUGAGUACUGACAUGAGUAAAAAUCAUUUGAAAAACCUUAAUGUACUCAUACUCGGUAUCACUCGGUUGGGGGCCGUGGUCAUUGUACAUUCAGCGAUUCUCAGCUGGGUGGGGGGUAGUGCAAGAGAACGUUCCCCUAUCCACCCACACUAAGUGGUUAUACAUACUCAAUGUCACCCUAGGGGGCACCUGCAGGCACAUCAAGCAGGAGUUGAAGUUCUUAAACUUCCCUUGCUGGCUAGAUCUCAAUGUUGUUGAAGCAAGGACGAACAACCUGAACCGUCCAGUGGAGGAAAAAGCAAUGGAGUUUUACCAACUCCUCAUGUAUGCAGAUAUGUCAGUAUUAAGUCUCAUUGAAGUUUAUUUCUAAAAUGAGAGCACUUCUACCAUUCUUCAAAGACUGCCCUCUUAAUUUUGGUAAUGUUUGUCAUUUCUAAAUAUAUACUUGAAAGCAAGCCCUAUUCAAAAGGAUACAAAGAGUGAAUUGCUUGAUGAAUAAGAAAAUAUUUACCCCUAGACAAUCGUCAGACGAAGAAAAAGCCUAGUUAUAUGUAGUUCAAUGAUUGAAUGACUUAUUUUGAAGUAUUAAAUCCAAUUUCGGUUCCAACAAAACAGUUUCUUGUCAAGCAUGGAUGGAGAAAUGGAUCACAUGAGUAUUGAUGAUUUGCCAUCAUGUUCUCAGGUAAGGGAGAUGGGGCGUAAUGACAAUGUCGGUAUUUUUUGUCAGGAGUUAGGGAUCACUCAUGAUCAAUUGAUCAACAUGACAAAUAAGAGGAAAUAGAAUGGGCAAGGUCAAUCAUCUCUGUUAAAUUGCAUAAUUAUUGAAUUAUUACCAAAAGGUUUAAAAGCAAAAGUUAUAAUCUCAGGUCAGUGUUGUAUACGUUUAAUGUAGAAGUGGGUGAGUGAGAGGUAAACAUGGUACAAGCUAUGGUCAAGGACCUCCUUGACCAUGAUUUAACACUGUGAAGACAUACUAGAUCAUUGUGCGGAAGGAAAAGAAUGCACAAUGACCAGCUGAUUGUGUUUGAGAAAACUAGGUUCAACCUUCAGUUUUGUCAUCACGUAAGGUGAUGACAGUAGAGAAACAAGGCUAAAAGUAAAUACAAAUAUUACUGGCAGUGAAUGUGAAAGAACAAGAGUGGAAAAUAGAAUACUAGAAGAUAAACUGGUAGGAGUGUGUAAAAAAUUAGUGGAGAGCCAAGUGAAAAGAUGUACUUAGUGUUACUGCGACGCAUUGUGCGCAUUAACUGUUACGGAAUUAGUGCCAUUUUAAUCUUGAUUGCUGCGUCAUGUUUGCCAUGCAUUUUUACGCAUGAUGAUAAUAAUGUGAAGAAAUACCCCCAAGAUUUUUUUCAAAAUUUUCUUUUAAUAUUUUCUAUUUAGAUCUGUGCUAUUUCCAGCCAGCAUUAAUUAUCCAAAAUCUUCUCAAAAUUUUCACUUUAAUACAAUGCCAGCACUCACAGCUGUUGUUUUGAAUCUUGAAUGAACGUAGUAAAAUCAGCUGAGGUGUUUACUACAGCAGUCAAUGAGCAUAGUAACAGAGGCGAAUUGUGCUAUUUUUAGAACCACCGCAAUACAUAAGAUUUAGUACGUGGGACAAGGUUAGGUUAAUAGCGUGCACGGUGAUGCACGGAGCGAGUUUUCUCGAUAAAUUGUCACUUACCUUGAAAAUGUCUUUUCAGUGAGGAGCUUGAUGCUCUAUUUUUCCCUUUUAUGAUAAAAUGAUGUCUUUAAUGAUCCUAUUUUAGUCACUAGAAGUGAUUAUUCCCUACCGGAAAUGGUACAGUCUGUAUUUCGUGUUUCGCGGGUGAUGACGUCACAAACUUUUGGCCAAUCACGUAAGCGGGCAAGUCCAGUUUCUGUCAGGCGAUAGGGGCCCGAUAGCCAGGGGUAUAAAAGGGGCAGGGGGUGAAAAUUUCUUCACUUUGCAUCUUAGUGAGUUUUUGUUCAGAAGAAAACCUCAAGCCAGUUGAGAGCGAGUCUGACAGUUGUUGUCUCAAGCGUUGAUAGUAGCAAGAAUCGUGAGUGGAAUAUCUCUUUUAAACUUCUUAGGUUACAUAAUACCCCCCCCCCCUCUUUCUAUAAAAAAGGAAUUUUGAUUAUAUUUGUCAGAACUGGAAUUUCAAAGUUCUUUAUAGAAAUUUUAGGCUUGAUGCCUGAUCGAUGAGAUUAAUAUUUUUAUGUCUGCCUUUAACGUUAGUUUACUCUAGAGAUAUUGCUUGAUUGCUGAUUUAUUUUGUAUGUGGUACACAACAGAAUUUAAGGAGAGUUUUGUUUUUGUUUUCCCUCUUUCUCAAUUGAUAAACGCAGAAGUAUGAAACAUCGUAACGUUAGGGAAAUCGGGGUAACUUAGGGAAAGAAAUGCAAGGGUACCUCGUCGUAGUAUGUAGUCUUAGUUAUGUACCAGUAGUUUGUUUUUACUUCGUAGUUGCCUAAAUUAAUCUAAGUCUCUUACAUCUUGUAAAUAUUCAGAUGCUAUUUUAUGAUGUGUGUAUGAAAAUGUUGCAGACUGUUUCAAGUCAGAGAAGUCGAUUGAAAUGAGAAUGUGGAAGUGGAUUUUAUUGUAUUGUGCAUGGAAGAAUAUGAAUCCCCCCUUCCCUUCGAUGAAAUUGACUGGCAUUGAGUACCGAGAGGUCUAGGGCAGCUCGAGCAAAGUCGAUUGACAGCAGCAGAAAUGAGAGGUUCGACAAGUGACAAUCCUGAAUAAGAAACGUUGCCAACAGUUACAGCAGUUGGAAGAAAGGAAGUCUAAAAUACCCUGAAUAAGGAUCGUCACCAAUCAAGCAGAACAAUUGACAAUCCUGCAUAAGGAACGUCAUGAUGGAUGAGUCAAGUCCAGUUGCAUCACUCUCAUCUCGCUCGCCGGCCUUCACUUGCCAGAACGCCUGCCACACCCUGCACUGUUCGUCAUGCACCGGUACUCUGUACUCAUCACCGUGCAUCACGUACUCGGUACUCUGUACUUGUCAUCGUGUACCGUACUCGGUACUUAUCAUCGUGCAUCGCGUACUCUGUACUCGUCAACGUGCAUCGCGUACUCGGUACUCUGUACUUGUCAUCGUGCAGUACGUACUCAGUACUCCAAACCAGCGAACACUGGGCAUCGUCUACCAAACGUCCUGUCCAUCUGAGAUGACUUCAUAGCUGCUUUCUUACAAUCAAUCCCGGAUAGGGAACGAAUUUAAGCAGUCUUCACCAUGUUUUCUUCAGUGCUUUCUUACAUUCAAUCCCGGAUAGGGAACGAAUUUAAGCAGUCUUCACCAUGUUUUCUUCAGUGCUUUCUUACAUUCAAUCCCGGAUAGGGAACGAAUUUAAGCAGUCUUCACCAUGUUUUCUUCAAUGCUUUCUUACAUUCAAUCCCGGAUAGGGAACGAAUUUAAGCAGUCUUCAUCAUGUUUUCUUCAGUGCUUUCUUACAUUCAAUCCUGGAUAGGGAACGAAUUUAAGCAGUCUUCACCAUGUUUUCUUCAGUGCUUUCUUACAUUCAAUCCUGGAUAGGGAACGAAUUUAAGCAGUCUUCACCAUGUUUUCUUCAGUGCAUUCUUACAAUCAAUCCCGGAUAGGGAACGAAUUUAAGCAGUCUUCACCAUGUUUUCUUCAAUGCUUUCUUACAUUCAAUCCCGGAUAGGGAACGAAUUUAAGCAGUCUUCACCAUGUUUUCUUCAGUGCUUUCUUACAUUCAAUCCUGGAUAGGGAACGAAUUUAAGCAGUCUUCACCAUGUUUUCUUCAGUGCUUUCUUACAUUCAAUCCUGGAUAGGGAACGAAUUUAAGCAGUCUUCACCAUGUUUUCUUCAGUGCAUUCUUACAAUCAAUCCCGGAUAGGGAACGAAUUUAAGCAGUCUUCACCAUGUUUUCUUCAGUGCUUUCUUACAUUCAAUCCCGGAUAGGGAACAAAUUUAAGCAGUCUUCACCAUGUUUUCUUCAAUGCUUUCUUACAUUCAAUCCUGGAUAGGGAACGAAUUUAAGCAGUCUUCACCAUGUUUUCUUCAAUGCUUUCUUACAUUCAAUCCCGGAUAGGGAACGAAUUUAAGCAGUCUUCACCAUGUUUUCUUCAGUGCUUUCUUACAAUCAAUCCCGGAUAGGGAACGAAUUUAAGCAGUCUUCACCAUGUUUUCUUCAGUGCUUUCUUACAUUCAAUCCCGGAUAGGGAACGAAUUUAAGCAGUCUUCACCAUGUUUUCUUCAGUGCUUUCUUACAUUCAAUCCUGGAUAGGGAACGAAUUUAAGCAGUCUUCACCAUGUUUUCUUCAGUGCUUUCUUACAUUCAAUCCUGGAUAGGGAACGAAUUUAAGCAGUCUUCACCAUGUUUUCUUCAAUGCUUUCUUACAUUCAAUCCCGGAUAGGGAACGAAUUUAAGCAGUCUUCACCAUGUUUUCUUCAAUGCUUUCUUACAUUCAAUCCUGGAUAGGGAACGAAUUUAAGCAGUCUUCACCAUGUUUUCUUCAGUGCAUUCUUACAUUCAAUCCUGGAUAGGGAACGAAUUUAAGCAGUCUUCACCAUGUUUUCUUCAGUGCAGUCUUACAUUCAAUCCUGGAUAGGGAACGAAUUUAAGCAGUCUUCACCAUGUUUUCUUCAGUGCUUUCUUACAUUCAAUCCUGGAUAGGGAACGAAUUUAAGCAGUCUUCACCAUGUUUUCUUCAAUGCUUUCUUACAUUCAAUCCCGGAUAGGGAACGAAUUUAAGCAGUCUUCACCAUGUUUUCUUCAGUGCUUUCUUACAUUCAAUCCUGGAUAGGGAACGAAUUUAAGCAGUCUUCACCAUGUUUUCUUCAGUGCUUUCUUACAUUCAAUCCUGGAUAGGGAACGAAUUUAAGCAGUCUUCACCAUGUUUGCUUCGAUGUUUCUUCAAUUCUUCGACAGCAUGGAACCCCUCUUGACGUUUUGACUCUUACCCCACCCCCUCCUUCUCUCUCAUUCUUCCAAGUAUUUCAUGCACACAUACAAUUAUUAAUAACUUGUAUUUUGGUAGUGUAUUAAUUUUUAUGAGAUUAUUUUUAAAUAUUUAAUCAGAACAUUACUUGAUUGUAAUGCAACGAGUUAGAAUUGUUGGAAUGUUAAGUUUUAUGUCUUGUUAUGUACCAAGUUGAACAUAGAAAGUUGUUGGUAUAAAAAGGACUUUGUUAGUCUAAUAUUUGGGAGAUAAAAUCUAAAAAUGAACAAGUUGGCCUGUCAGCACGUUCAUCAGGUUACCUACGUCUUGUACGGCGAGCUGUGGCGUGGCAACAUCGCCGGUUUAUGCAACAUAUCUCAGAAAGUGGACGAGUGGAUGGUGGAGGAGCUAAAGACCAGGGCUGCAGGGACACUUGCCAGCUAUUGUUGUAGCGUGGCCAUUUUCCUAGA
rnacentral:lncRNA from 1 species